GCUGUGUAUGGUCGUCCAUAGAAUUAAGACUAUGGCACCCAGAGCCAAUGCUUUGUAGCCAUGCCUUGAAUCCCUGAGACUGUUCAGCAUCUUUGGACAGGCAGAGAAUUAAACUCAGCAUAUGUAAGGACCUCUGUCAGGCAUCUGAGAGAAAGAAGAAGGAUUAAAGCCUAUUCCAGUGGAUUUGGUGUAGAGGGGUGAUGGGGGAGGCAAGACUUUAUUCAGUCCAGCCUUCUAUGAGGGUGUGGGGGCAGGAAACAGCAUCUGGAAUAUCCCCAAGUUUCUCUAGCAUCUGGAAGAAAAUAAGGUUCCUUGAACAUUGAUACCAGCAUUUCACUGGCUUAUUUCCCUACCUGCAAACAUCAGGACCCACACCCUCCCCAUCCAAGGGCCUGCCGCAAAGCCUCACAUGGGCCCCUCUCUGCCUCAGAGGGCUCCCCUCAUUUCUGGGAAUUGGGUUUGGACAAGUGUGGACGUGCAAGAAGAAGGGUACCUGAGAUUGCAAGAUGUUGGAAUGUUAGCCAGACGUUGGUUCUUCUUACUGAAACAAAGGUUACUCCUUAAGCUACCAGGCAAAUGGUCUUUGAUUCCAGGUAAUUUAGAAAGGAGGAUAUGUGUCUCAGUUAUGACAACAGUAAUGCCACACAACAACAAACGAAACCUCAGGCAGCAAACACAAGACACACAUUUAAGCCCAGGUGAUCUGGGCAUGCUUGACUGAUCUUGGCAGGGUGGCUCUGUUGAUCUUAGCUAGGCUUGCUCAUACACCUAGGGGACAGCUGACUGAUGGCCAAUCUAGGAUGGCUUCAACUGGAAUGACUGGGAUAACAUGGCUUGACUCAAUGUGUUUUUCAUCUCCAGCAGGCUAGCUGGGGCAUAUUCACCAGUCUAAGUACUUUUUCAGCCUUGCUUGUAGCACAUUUGCUAACAUCAUAUUAACUAAAAUAAGUCACAAGGCCAGUCUCAGAGUCAGAGUGUAGAUGAAGGUGUGGGCACAGGGGGUCAAGGGUAAUGGAUGGGGAGGGAAGAACUGACGUUAUUUUUUUCAUUAUACCACAGCAUGCUUAAUUUUUUCCAAUUUGCCAGCUAAUGUUCCAUCCAAUGGAGUCAGAUAUUCCUUGAGCUCACAUUGAUUGUAUCACCUACUUUGACUUGGCUUUAUGCUAAGGAAAAGAAACCAACAUUUAUUUUAUGAAAACUACAGCAGCAGCAACAAAACAAACCCUGCCUUUGACAAUAUGCCAAUAAACUGAUAUGAUUUUCAUUUUAUCUUAUAAAU
rnacentral:lncRNA from 1 species